rnacentral:rRNA from 1 species
UACGGAGGAUCCAAGCGUUAUCCGGAAUCAUUGGGUUUAAAGGGUCCGUAGGCGGCUUUAUAAGUCAGUGGUGAAAUCCGGCAGCUUAACUGUCGAAUUGCCAUUGAUACUGUAGGGCUUGAAUUGUUGUGAAGUAACUAGAAUAUGUAGUGUAGCGGUGAAAUGCUUAGAUAUUACAUGGAAUACCAAUUGCGAAGGCAGGUUACUAACAAUACAUUGACGCUGAUGGACGAAAGCGUGGGUAGCGAACAGG